rnacentral:rRNA from 1 species
ACGUUGAAGACGACGACGUUGAUAGGCCGGGUGUGUAAGCGCAGCGAUGCGUUGAGCUAACCGGUACUAAUGAACCGUGAGGCUUAACCCUACAACGCCGAAG